AUGCGAUAAGUAAUGUGAAUUGCAGAAUUCAGUGAAUCAUCGAAUCUUUGAACGCACAUUGCGCCCGCCAGUACUCUGGCGGGCAUGCCUGUCCGAGCGUCAUUUCAACCCUCAAGCCCCAGCGGUUUGGUGUUGGGCAUCGGCCGUCCUCUGCGGCGGCCGUGCCCCAAAUACAGUGGCGGACUCGCUGUUGCCUCCUCUGCGUAGUAAUUACACCUCGCACCGGAUAGACACGAAGUCCACGCCGUAAAACAACCCAAUUUCUGAAUGUUGACCUCGGAUCAGGUAGGAAUACCCGCUGAACUUAA
rnacentral:misc_RNA from 1 species